UGCAAGUAGAACGCUGAAGGAGGAGCUUGCUUCUCUGGAUGAGUAGCGAACGGGUGAGUAACGCGUAGGUAACCUGCCUGGUAGCGGGGGAUAACUAUUGGAAACGAUAGCUAAUACCGCAUAACAGUAGAUGUUGCAUGACAUUUGCUUAAAAGGUGCAAUUGCAUCACUACCAGAUGGACCUGCGCUGUAUUAGCUAGUUGGUGGGGUAACGGCUCACCAAGGCGACGAUACAUAGCCGACCUGAGAGGGUGAUCGGCCACACUGGGACUGAGACACGGCCCAGACUCCUACGGGAGGCAGCAGUAGGGAAUCUUCGGCAAUGGACGGAAGUCUGACCGAGCAACGCCGCGUGAGUGAAGAAGGUUUUCGGAUCGUAAAGCUCUGUUGUAAGAGAAGAACGAGUGUGAGAGUGGAAAGUUCACACUGUGACGGUAUCUUACCAGAAAGGGACGGCUAACUACGUGCCAGCAGCCGCGGUAAUACGUAGGUCCCGAGCGUUGUCCGGAUUUAUUGGGCGUAAAGCGAGCGCAGGCGGUUAGAUAAGUCUGAAGUUAAAGGCUGUGGCUUAACCAUAGUACGCUUUGGAAACUGUUUAACUUGAGUGCAAGAGGGGAGAGUGGAAUUCCAUGUGUAGCGGUGAAAUGCGUAGAUAUAUGGAGGAACACCGGUGGCGAAGCGGCUCUCUGGCUUGUAACUGACGCUGAGGCUCGAAAGCGUGGGGAGCAAACAGGAUUAG
rnacentral:rRNA from 1 species